rnacentral:misc_RNA from 1 species
AACGCACCUUGCGCCUCUUGGUAUUCCGAGAGGCAUGCCUGUUUGAGCGUCAUUAAAUUCUCAACUUCAAAAGCUUUUUGCUCUUUGAAGCUUGGAUGUGGAGGCUGCCGGCUCGAUUAGAGUCAGCUCCUCUUAAAUGCAUUAGUGGAAACCGUUUGUAGUACCACAUUGGUGUGAUAAUUAUCAGCGCUAUUGUGUCUACAAGCUUGUGUGAGUCGAUUGGAGAGUGCAUGUAUCUUGCUCUUUCUGUUCAAUUUUGACUUGCAUGAGUAGAGUGUCUGCUCAUAACCGUCCAUUUUUGGACAACUUUUGACUAUUUUGGCCUCAAAUCAGGUAGGACUACCCGCUGAACUUAA